rnacentral:rRNA from 1 species
GAUGAACGCACAAGACGUGCCUAACACAUGCAAAUCGAAUGAAAAUUAUUGUUUUCAUGGUGAACGGGUGAGUAACACAUAAGAAUCAGCUUUUAGAUAAGGCAUAAAAGAGUAAUAUCUUGGUAAUUCCUUAUAUGCGCAGCAGUGCUUAAAAAGGGUAAUCCCGUCUAAAAACGAGCUUAUGCCUGAUUAGCUAGUUGGCGAGUUAAACGCUCACCAAGGCGAAGAUCAGUAGCUGGCCUGAGAGGGCGGCCAGCCACAUUGGGACUGAGACACGGCC